rnacentral:rRNA from 1 species
AAUAGAUACCCGGGUAGUCCUGGCAGUAAACGGUGCACGUUUGGUGUGGGAGGAUUCGACCCCUUCUGCGCCGGAGCUAACGCGUUAAACGUGCCGCCUGGGGAGUACGGUCGCAAGAUUAAAACUCAAAGAAAUUGACGGGGGGCCCGCACAAGCGGUGGAGUAUGUGGCUUAAUUCGAUGCAACGCGAAGAACCUUACCUGGCCUUGACAUGCAUCUCUAAGCUGGUGAAAGCCAGUGACUCCCGAAAGGGAGAAUUUGCACAGGUGCUGCAUGGCUGUCGUCAGCUCGUGUCGUGAGAUGUUGGGUUAAGUCCCGUAACGAGCGCAACCCCUGUAUUUAAUUGCUAACAUUAAGUUGAGUACAUUAAAUAGACUGUCGGUGAUAAACCGGAGGAAGGUGGGGAUGACGUCAAGUCCUCAUGGCCCUUAUGGGUAGGGCUACACACGUGCUACAAUGGGCAGUACAGAGGGAAGCGAAGCCGCGAGGUGAAGCAAAUCUCAGAAAGCUGUUCGUAGUCCGGAUUGGAGU